rnacentral:rRNA from 1 species
UACAGAGGGUGCGAGCGUUGUUCGGAAUUAUUGGGCGUAAAGGGCGCGUAGGCGGUGCGGUAAGUCACCUGUGAAAUCUCCUGGCUCAACUGGGAGCUUGCAGGCGAAACUGCCGUGCUUGAGUUCGGUAGGGGAGACUGGAAUUCCUGGUGUAGCGGUGAAAUGCGCAGAUAUCAGGAAGAACACCCGUGGCUAAGGCGGCUCUCUAGUACGGUACUGACGCUGAGACGCGAAAGCGUGGGGAGCGAACAGG